UACGUAUGGGGCAAGCGUUAUCCGGAUUUACUGGGUGUAAAGGGAGCGUAGGCGGCGGGGCGAGCCUGAUGUGAAAGCCCGGGGCUCAACCCCGGGACUGCAUUGGGAACUGCCCUGCUGGAGUGCCGGAGGGGCAGGCGGAAUUCCUAGUGUAGCGGUGAAAUGCGUAGAUAUUAGGAGGAACACCAGUGGCGAAGGCGGCCUGCUGGACGGUGACUGACGCUGAGGCUCGAAAGCGUGGGGAGCAAACAGG
rnacentral:rRNA from 1 species